rnacentral:rRNA from 1 species
AGAGUUUGAUCCUGGCUCAGGAUGAACGCUAGCGGUGUGCCUAAUGCAUGCAAGUCGAACGGGAGCCUUGGAUUCGUCUGAGGUGAGAGUGGCGAACGGGUGAGUAACACGUAGGUGACCUGCCCUAGAGAGGGGGACAACCAGUGGAAACGCUGGCUAAUACCCCGGAUGUCAAUGAGAUUAGAAGGCAUUGACUAAAGUAGCGGAUAAAACUGCUGCGCUCUGGGAGGGGCCUGCGACCCAUCAGCUAGUUGGUAGGGUAACGGCCUACCAAGGCAGAGACGGGUAGGGGGCGUGAGAGCGUGGCCCCCCACACUGGUACUGACACACGGACCAGAUACCUACGGGUAGCAGCAGCAAGGAAUAUUGCGCAAUGGGCGAAAGCCUGACGCAGCAACACCGCGUGGAGGACGAAGGCCUUCGGGUCGUAAACUCCUUUUCUGGGGGAAGAGAAAGGACGGUACCCCAGGAAUAAGGCCCGGCUAACUACGUGCCAGCAGCCGCGGUAAAACGUAGGGGUCGAGCGUUAUCCGGAAUUACUGGGCGUAAAGCGCGUGUAGGCGGCUGUUUAAGUUGGACGUGAAAGCUCCUGGCUCAACUAGGAGAGGUCGUUCAAAACUGGGCAGCUCGAGGAUGGUAGAGGCAAGUGGAAUUCCCGGUGUAGUGGUGAAAUGCGUAGAUAUCGGGAGGAACACCAGUGGCGAAGGCGGCUUGCUGGGCCAACCCUGACGCUGAGACGCGAAAGCUAGGGGAGAGAACGGGAUUAGAAACCCCGGUAUUCCUAGCCGUAAACGAUGUCAACUAGGUGUAGGUGGUUAUUGACCCCAUCUGUGCUGUAGCAAACGCGUUAAGUUGACCGCCUGGGGACUACGGCCGCAAGGCUAAAACUCAAAGGAAUUGACGGGGACCCGCACAAGCAGCGGAGCGUGUGGUUUAAUUCGAGGCUACGCGAAGAACCUUACCAGGGCUUGACAUAUAACUGGUAGUGAAGCGAAAGCGGAACGACCCUUCGGGGAGGUUAUACAGGUGCUGCAUGGCUGUCGUCAGCUCGUGCUGUGAAGUGUCGGGUUAAGUCCCUUAACGAGCGAAACCCUUAUCGCUAGUUGCCAGCGGGUAGUGCCGGGCACUUUAGCGAGACUGCCGGUGUCAAACCGGAGGAAGGCGGGGACGACGUCAAGUCCUCAUGGCCUUUAUGCCCGGGGUAGCACACGUCCUACAAUGGGAUGGUACAAAGCGACGCGAAGCCGCGAGGCGGAGCAAAUCGCAAAAAACAUCCCCCAGUUCGGAUUGCAGGCUGCAACUCGCCUGCAUGAAGUUGGAAUCGCUAGUAAUCGCGCAUCAGCUAUGGCGCGGUGAAUGUGUUCCUGAGCCUUGUACACACCGCCCGUCAAGUCAUGGAAGCUGGUAGUACCCGAAGUCCGUUUAGCGAACCGUAAGGAGCGGCGGCCGACGGUAAGACCGGUGACUGGGACUAAGUCGUAACAAGGUAACC